CACUAGAUCCUGUGCCCAGGUCUGAAAAUGGAUGCAGCAAGUCUGAGCUGGCAGGAUCUGAGGCACACACCUGCACCCCGGCUACAAAGGAGUGUGAAAAAAACACUAAGCAUCCAGCAUUUUGUAGCCACUCUAUCUGGGGGUUAGGUCUUGUUUUCUGUCAAGAUAAAUAAGCACUCACCUAAUCAGGAUGCCCUAUGAAUCUGGCCCUGACCUACCCUUCCAUUGCAAAUAUAAUAGCUGGUAAGAAAUGGAGGCUCAGGGGGUUAAGGGACCUAUCCAACGUCACAGCUGGUAAGCAGCAGAGCUGGGAUUCAAACCCCAGCAGAACAUAAGCUUCUGACCAAUAGACUCUACUGCCCAUGUGAAUGGUAGUCCCAGCAAUUCCCUUGGCAUAUGCAGGA